rnacentral:rRNA from 1 species
CUACGGGCUGCUCCAGUGAGGAAUAUUGCACAAUGGGGGGAACCCUGAUGCAGCAACGCCGCGUGGAGGAUGACGCAUUUCGGUGUGUAAACUCCUUCUAUAUGUCAAGAAAAUGACGGUAGCAUAUGAAUAAGCACCGGCUAACUCCGUGCCAGCAGCCGCGGAAUACGGAGGGUGCAAGCGUUACUCGGAAUCACUGGGCGUAAAGGACGCGUAGGCGGGUUGGAAAGUCAGGUGUGAAAUCCUACAGCUUAACUGUAGAACUGCACUUGAAACUUCUAAUCUAGAGUAUGGGAGGGGGAGAUGGAAUUAGUGGUGUAGGGGUAAAAUCCGUAGAUAUCACUAGGAAUACCUAAAGCGAAGGCGAUCUCCUGGAACAUUACUGACGCUAAGGCGUGAAAGCGUGGGGAGCAAACAGGAUUAGAUACCCUGGUAGUC